AAGUUCUCCCCGAAUCCAUCGUGAUGAUGAGAAUUUACCAUACCCAUCAAAGCUCCUCCUCCUAGAUGAUCAUGAGUUGUUAAUGGACCAACACCUAUUUGUUCUUGGUGUGGAUGUUCCAUGCAACCUGCAGAGGUGAUAGCACUAGUUUUGUUCCCAAAAGAUGCCAUCAGCCCGUGAUGAUGCAUAAGCCCAGAUCCAGAACUAGACCCUAUUCCCAUCUGAUCUUCACGUGAGGCCAGACCCAGGCUAGAACCAGCUGUAGAAGUGGCCAAUAUUAUUGAUGUUGAACCCAUCAAACCAGUACUCACGUGAGCUGCUUGGUGGGGUCUCAGCAUCGUUGUUGUCGCCGAGGCAGCGGCCGCCACCACGUCCGCACCAGCAGCUGAUUGACUUGAUGCAGGUUUGCUGAUUGUAACUCCCAUUUGUGCUGCUUUUUGCAGCAAUGCAGUUGCAGACAUGUGGGGUGAUGCCGAUGCCGCGGCGGCUUGGAAUGAGGAGGAAAGAGUUGGGUUAGGGUUAGGGUUGUUGACAUUUUCAUGAUGAUGAAUCAUGGUUUGGUCCAGUCUCGGGCUGCUGAACAAGUCAUGACUUGUUGGAGGACCUCCCCCUGGAUCACAGAGCCAAGGCGGCAGCUCUGGUGGCCUCAAGUUGCUAUUGAAGCUUUGUUGUCGUUGUAACUGUAACUGUAACUGAUCUUGUUCUCGCUUGAGAGGAAACACGGGGAGGCCGCCGCCAUGGAGAGGAUGGUUUUGGAGGUGGAGUUGGACUGAAGAUGUAGUACUAUUGCCGCCGCCGCCUAGUAGUCCUAGUGGGUGGUUGUUUGUUGUAAUUGCCCGGGCACUCUCUUCUGCCAAGGCGUCGCAGAAAGCUCUAUGGGUGAUGAAACUGUCCCUCCUGACAAACAAAAACAAACAGAAAAAAACAAAAGGAAUAAAACAUCAAAAUGCUGCUGCAGAUUAAACAAUAGACAGUACGGUACCAUAUAUCUAUGAACGAUGCUCCCUCUUUUUCAUCUGAGUCCGUCUCUGUCGUCAACUUUUUCUGCGCUUUCAUCUAUGGUGGCAGAAUAGAUAGUAGUAGAGUACAUGAUUUUUUAGCAGUAAAGUUUUCUUUGUUUUUAGCUUUUUGCAGUGAAAGAAUAAAUAAAGUAGUGUUAGGACAUACUACAAAACUUGUAAUGAUACAAAUUCACUGCACAUACGCACAUACACACAAAGACAAAGACAAAAGAUUGCAAGAACAACACAAGAUUCACAAGGCAAAGAUGCUUAAGGUGGUACCACGUACUAAUUGCCUAGUAAAACUGAAUGUGAGCAAAGUAUUUUUUUUUUUUUGGUCAAAAAAUGAGAGCAAAGUAUUUGACAUUGGGUAUUUUGGUAGCUUCUUUCUAGUGUGCAUGGAACAUCCAUUUGACCCCAGAUUCCUAAAUUAAAAAAGAAAAAAAAGAAGAUCGAUUAC
rnacentral:lncRNA from 1 species